GGGAGUUGCGCAUGCGUCAGCGAGUUGCUCCGAGUCGCGCCGGGAGCGUGGGCGCCAAGGGUCCCGCUGAAGUGUUCCCUCCUCUUCUUCCUCCUCUUCCUGAGUCCGCCAGCUAACGCGGACUGGAACUCUCCCGGAAGAAUGAAAGAACGCUUCUACUGGGAAAAUUUUGUAAAGAGUCUUCAAAAUCAGGGGUGGAUUUUAUACCUACAGCACAUGUCAAUUCAGAUUAGCCCUAUUUCAAGUACUCAUGUGGCUAUGUGAAGGUCUAGGAUAUGCCUUUCCUAGAAGAAGUUAACCGGGAGGCCAAGAUAAUAAUCAGAAGACUCUCUGUGGAAGCCUGGAGUCUUAACCACUGGACUUCCAGGGAAGCCCCAUGUUGUUAUACUUUUGAAGGCUCCGCACACGCAGGCUCAGCAGCCAUGGCUCACGGGCCCAGCCGCUCCACGGCAUGUGGGAUCCUCCCGGACGGGGGCACGAACCUGUGUCCCCCACGUCGGCAGGCGGACUCUCAACCACUGCGCCACCAGGGAAGCCCGGUUAUUUCUUAUUUAUUUAUAUUAUUAUAUACUUUGUAAUUUUCUCAGGUUUUAUCAGUUUGUUUCAGUUCUUGAUGUGUUAAGACAUUGCUAGUUUUUUUUUUUUUUAAUGGAUAGUGUUGAUAGUUCUUUUAAAAUAAUAUUCCUUUAAACACCAGUUUUCAACAUGUAGUGUUUUGGGAUUCUAAAAAAUAUAUUAUUUGGGGAAAACAUUUAGUUUCCAUUCUUUUUAGGCACUCUUUGAACUGCUUUCUUAUGCUGUCAAUGGGUGUGGGCUCAAGUGGUGUAAACUACUUAUACUAAGCAAUUACUUUAAGAAAAAUAAAAUUACAAAGAUACAUUUUCUGUAAAACAUACAUUGGGUAUACAAAAGUGUGGUAAAAAAUGUUUUUGGGAAAAAAAUGCUUUGGGGAAUAUUUACUACUUUGAAUUAUCUGCACUAUUUUCCUACGGUAGUGCCAAUAGAGUAGAUUGUGUGUGAAAAGAUUUUCUGAGUUUAUUUAUUUAUUUAUUUAUUAAAGUUUAUCUUUUGAGAUAAAAUUCACAUGUGAAAAGAUUUUUACCUUCAGAUUUUGGAAGACUAUAUUGUUUAAGUUAGAAAGGAGGCAUGGACUGUGUACCUCUUCUUAUGUACCCCCAAACCUGAAGUAUGCCUUAUUGUUAAUUCCUAGUGCUCAGGACUGAAUUUUUUUUGUUAUUUUAAAUUAGUGCUCGUUUCUAUGGGCAAACUUUUCCCAAUAGCUGAAGCAGAGACUUCUGGGCACUGUUUUAUUUCUUCUUUCUUCACAGUUUUAAAAGAGCCCCUUGCCUCCUCUGUUUGUCAUUACGUGUACUGAAGUACAGAAUAGAAAAUGCAAAACAAGACAGCUGUACAGGAGGUUUUUCUUUUUAAAGAAGUUGAUAGACAAAUGGCACAGGGUUCACUGUUCUCGCCAGCUGAGAGUUUAGCUUCCAGAAACCGCUACUUUAGGGGAACAAGUGAAGUAGUGUGGAAGGCCUGAAAGGCUUCAUUGACACAACAGCCGGGAGGCUCUUGUACUACUUUGUCUGGUAUGCAGUGCCCUUCGGAAACCAGCUCUUCAGAACUCUACACCCCCAACAUCCCCAAAAGCUUAAAAUAUUAGGCUUUUUUAUUUUUGGUGGGUUUUUUUUUUUUUGCCACUAUACUUGGUUUUCUAAGUGAAAUUACUGAAAAGGAGUUUGUUUUUGUUUAUCUUUUGCCUUUGAGUGUCAGUCAGUGAUUCACAUAAUCUCUUGGCUUGCUUAGUGGUAACACUGGGGGUCUGGGCAGUAGGGCCAAAUAGUUGAACCUAACAAAUUAGUGGCCCAGCUUUAGUAUUUGCUUUCUGAACUAGAAUCUAAGUGCUGCAGCAAAAAGGAGUCCUUGGGUGGGGGAAAUAAGACAAAUUUGAAGCUGAUGAUUCUCAGCUGUCUUGAAGGUUGAUCUGGAGAGAUUUAAGUUUAUGCUAAGGAAUAACUUUCCAGUAGAACAAGAUAUUAAAAGUUGUUAGAUUUGUAUCAGUGAAGUUGUAGACUCACUUGUAGACUUUGAGAGAGUGCUUCAAGGAAGACACAAUCAUCUGUGGCAUGUCGGUUUGGUAUAGAAGGGCUGAGGCCAGGCAACAUUUUCAUCAAUGGUUUUCAUUCAAGUAUUAAUAGAGCUCCUAUUAUGUGUCUAGCCCUGAGAAAGGAUGUGGCCUGUGCUCCCGAACUUUGAGGAGCUCAGAGUCGUUGACCCAUAGGCUGUGGAAGAUCCUUAGAGAUAAGCGGUUCAGCCUUAUUCUGCAGGAAGCAUUGAGGCCCGGAAAGUUGACUUGCUCGAGAUUACGUGGAGUUCGUGGCAGAUUUUUGACUGGAAGCUAGAUCAUUUUACUCCCAGUUUGGUAUUUUUCCAUUCGACUCUUGUUGAAAGUGCCUAUUGCUGUCAGAGAACAAUUCAAGACAAGAUAUGCUGAAGUGCACAUGGGAAGAGUUCAUUGCUACCUGGUGUUAUCUGGAAGUGUGACAGAUUUUGAAGAAUGGGUAUGGUGUGGACAUUACAAAAGAACCAGAAAAAUCUGGUCUCUGUUCUAUGUUGUUGGGGGAUAUUUACAUCGUUCAGUUCAAGUAUGAGCCUUUAAAUGUUAUCUCUGUUGGAGCAGGUGCACACAGGAAGUUCCCUUAUUAAACAUCAAAAUGGAAGCUGGGUGAGGGUUGGGAGGUUGGAGGUGGGAGGGGAAGUGCAGUCCAAGUGAUUCACAGAUUUCUGAGUAAACUUGGCCAUCACACAUUGGAGGAUGAACUUUGAGUUCAUUGCUAGAACUUGGGGUCUAUGACGAGAGGGGCCCUUGUGGAGCUCUUGUGGAGGUCUUGACGUAAAGAACUUGAGCGACCCCCCUGGAACUUCUGCCUGGCUGCUAGGAAUUAGUUCUUGGCCUUAAUAUUUGAUCUCUUCUCACUCUAUGCCUAUGCCUAUAGGUUUCCUUUCCCAUUUAAGAGCAUUGCUGAAAGCAAAAGCAACAAUCUUAACCAUCUGCUCCUUAAACAAGAGGAGAUUUAUUACUUUUAAUCGAAAGGAUACUUGUUCCAACAGGAGAAGUGUAUGCCUCAGAGAGGAAAGCCUGUGGCAGCACAUAUAUUUUGGUCGCUGCUCUGCAGUCAGUUGUGUGUGUGUGGGGUGCUCCCCAAAGUGCAAGCAGCAGAUACAAGAGUUUAAGGCCAGAGAGAGCACUGAUGGUUCAGGAAACAGAAAGUUUAGUGCACAUGCAAUACGGCUGGAGUAUAGAGCAGGGGGCGGGGCCCUGAGGCAUCUAGCAAAGGGAGUGGGGAGAGGGAGAUUGGGGCUGAAGAAUCCAGAUCUGGAGGGCCUUGUAAACCGUGUUAAAGAAAGUAGACUUUAACUCAAGGGCAAUGGGGAUAUGACUAUGAGAUUUAAAUCUUAGAUCACUGAUUGCUGUAUUGGGUUGGAUUAUAGGAGAGGGAGAAUGAGAAACAGUAGAAUCAGUGAGACUAAUUAGAAGAAUGUUGCAUUAGUUGAAGAGAGAAGGGUUGGUGGCCUGAACCUGCAGGGACAGAACCAUGAAAAGCAAUUCUGGCACUCAAGGCAAACAGCUAAAAAUUGACCUUCAAACAAUUCUGUAAUUCAAGAUAUGGCUUGUAAGUGGAUGUGACUGUGAUGUGCCUUCCAAUAGCUUUCAAUUUAACUAAAUAUUGUGGAUAACCAGGUGCUAUUCUUUUAAAAUAAUUGUGUAAAAGAAAAACAAACCCCAAAACAAAAAAACUUCCCUCUCUGCUUUUUUGUCUCCAAGGGAAAAGCACCGUCAAUCCCUAGCAGUUAGUCUGGGGCAGAGGCAAGGGGAGGGAGGGAGGUGAUCAGAUUUAAGAGAUAGUUGAGAAGUCGGAUGGACAAGGAAA